rnacentral:lncRNA from 10 species
CUAGAAUGUAAGGCACAGGCCGCAGGAGAAGUGCAUGGAGAAGGGAGAGAAAUUGUACCUGGCCUCCUGAAAGACGCAGCCUCUGAAAUGAAUAUUGAAGACUGGGGAGGAUUUAAACAGGACACAGGGCUCGGGAGCAGCGCCAGCCCGACAUCGGCGGAGGAGCACCGGAAGUUCUGCAGCACUGGCUUUCUUUGCUCUUCCACCUAUGCAAGCUCCUUCUCUCUUGUGGCUUGCCGAGCCUGGUUAGCUCUGAGACCGGAAGUUCUGAAGUCAGCUGGCAUCCUACAUCUGUGCAACCUACUUCUCUCCCCAUCCCACCACAGAAACCAGAGCCUCGAGGCUUUUGGCUUGGGUGCUGCCUUCACAGUUUAGGUUUUGGUAAGAAGAAAGCUUAUCUUCAUG